GCAAGUCGAACGAUGAAGCCAGCUUGCUGGUGGAUUAGUGGCGAACGGGUGAGUAACACGUGAGUAACCUGCCCUUAACUCUGGGAUAAGCCUGGGAAACUGGGUCUAAUACCGGAUAUGACUCCUCAUCGCAUGGUGGGGGGUGGAAAGCUUUUUGUGGUUUUGGAUGGACUCGCGGCCUAUCAGCUUGUUGGUGAGGUAAUGGCUCACCAAGGCGACGACGGGUAGCCGGCCUGAGAGGGUGACCGGCCACACUGGGACUGAGACACGGCCCAGACUCCUACGGGAGGCAGCAGUGGGGAAUAUUGCACAAUGGGCGCAAGCCUGAUGCAGCGACGCCGCGUGAGGGAUGACGGCCUUCGGGUUGUAAACCUCUUUCAGUAGGGAAGAAGCGAAAGUGACGGUACCUGCAGAAGAAGCGCCGGCUAACUACGUGCCAGCAGCCGCGGUAAUACGUAGGGCGCAAGCGUUAUCCGGAAUUAUUGGGCGUAAAGAGCUCGUAGGCGGUUUGUCGCGUCUGCCGUGAAAGUCCGGGGCUCAACUCCGGAUCUGCGGUGGGUACGGGCAGACUAGAGUGAUGUAGGGGAGACUGGAAUUCCUGGUGUAGCGGUGAAAUGCGCAGAUAUCAGGAGGAACACCGAUGGCGAAGGCAGGUCUCUGGGCAUUAACUGACGCUGAGGAGCGAAAGCAUGGGGAGCGAACAGGAUUAGAUACCCUGGUAGUCCAUGCCGUAAACGUUGGGCACUAGGUGUGGGGGACAUUCCACGUUUUCCGCGCCGUAGCUAACGCAUUAAGUGCCCCGCCUGGGGAGUACGGCCGCAAGGCUAAAACUCAAAGG
rnacentral:rRNA from 1 species